UGCCAGCAGCCGCGGUAAGACGGAGGGCACAAACGUUGUUCGGAAUGCACUGGGCAUAAAGAGCACGUAGGCGGCUUGCUAAGUCGGGUGUGAAAGCCCUCGGCUCAACCGGGGAAUUGCAUUCGAAACUGGCAGGCUCGAGGAUGGCAGGGGUAAGUGGAACUCCAGGUGGAACGGUGAAAUGUGUAGAUAUCUGGAGGAACACCGGUGGCGAAAGCGGCUUACUGGGCCAUCUCUGACGCUGAGGUGCGAAAGCUAGGGUAGAAAACGGGAUUAGAUA
rnacentral:rRNA from 1 species